GACGAACGCUGGCGGCGUGCUUAACACAUGCAAGUCGAACGGAAAGGCCCUGCUUUUGUGGGGUGCUCGAGUGGCGAACGGGUGAGUAACACGUGAGUAACCUGCCCUUGACUUUGGGAUAACUUCAGGAAACUGGGGCUAAUACCGGAUAGGAGCUCCUGCUGCAUGGUGGGGGUUGGAAAGUUUCGGCGGUUGGGGAUGGACUCGCGGCUUAUCAGCUUGUUGGUGGGGUAGUGGCUUACCAAGGCUUUGACGGGUAGCCGGCCUGAGAGGGUGACCGGCCACAUUGGGACUGAGAUACGGCCCAGACUCCUACGGGAGGCAGCAGUGGGGAAUAUUGCACAAUGGGCGGAAGCCUGAUGCAGCGACGCCGCGUGCGGGAUAACGGCCUUCGGGUUUUAAACCGCUUUCGCCUGUGACGAAGCGUGAGUGACGGUAAUGGGUAAAGAAGCACCGGCUAACUACGUG
rnacentral:rRNA from 1 species